rnacentral:rRNA from 1 species
UACGUAGGGGGCAAGCGUUGUCCGGAUUUAUUGGGCGUAAAGCGCGUGUAGGCGGCUCGGUAAGUCCGCUGUGAAAGUCGGGGGCUCAACCCUCGGAUGCCGGUGGAUACUGUCGGGCUAGAGUACGGAAGAGGCGAGUGGAAUUCCUGGUGUAGCGGUGAAAAUGCGCAGAUAUCAGGAGGAACACCAAUUGCGAAGGCAGCUCGCUGGGACGUUACUGACGCUGAGACGCGAAAGCGUGGGGAGCAAACAGG